AACAUCGCGCACCUGCGGGAACCUGCGGAAGGAUCAUUAAUGAUCGGUGGCUGUUGCUGACUAGUGUUUCUAGUAUGUGCACGCCACACCUUCAAUCCCACUUACACCUGUGCACCUUCUGUAAUAGAUCUAUGUGGAUACGGAGAUAUGAAAGUUUGCGCUCUCGUACUCUGUUGAAGCAGUCUACUACGUUUUUUUACACACACACAAUAGUCAUUGAAUGUAUUUUUUAUUCUUAUG
rnacentral:misc_RNA from 1 species